CGGGGAUCUGCAUUCUGCUGGACGUCUUGGCCAGAGAGGGGCUCUCUCUCUGCUUGGGGUUGGAGCAGCGGAGCAGACGCUGGGCGUGGAGGAUUUCCUGGGGGAAAAUCUGGCUUCCCGGGACGCUAUUGUGCCAGUGCCGAAGCCUCUGGAACUCCAGCGGAUUCCCUGCGCUGGGCGGAGACCUGGCAGCGCUCACUCAGCCUUGUCUGCUCCCAGGAGAGCCCGAGGGUCACCCCGGAGGUGACCAGGUGCCCCUCCCCCCUCUCCGCCUCCUCCCGCCCAUCCCAGGGUCAGGGGAGGUGGGUGCCCGACCCCCUGCCCCGCAAUUGCCCAGAUACAGGUGUGCACUUCAUGGAACUCUCGAACCACACGGGACAGAGGAGGACAGCGAGCUCGUGUCCCCAGAUGUCCCCAGUGCCAGCAACUUCCCACCCACUGGGCUCCACCCUCUGACCACCGUGUGGGGACCUUCAGAGACUGAGGGUGUGCUAGAAGCCCAGAGUGGGGGGCAGCAAGAGCUCAUGGAGGGGGGCGUGGGGGGGCACUGCCUGGCAUCAACUCCUGCCCCCACCCCCUUCCGCCCUUGGCCCCAGAGACCUUGGGGAGUUUCCUUGUGGGUCUUUUUCUCCUUCGGCCCCAUGCCCUGGGCUGCUGGGUGGAGGGAAGGGGCGGCUGGCACACAGCAGGAGCUCUUGCAGUGUCGACCCUCUCUUUCUCCUUCUCCCAUUCAUUUGGAACUUCCCAGACACCGGGCCUGACAGUGGAGCAGUGACAGAACAGACCUGAGGGACCUGUCCUUUCCUGAAAGUUACUACUUAGGUGGAAUGACAGUCACUCAGUUAUACUAAUAAUUUUUUUUUUCUUUUUAGGGCCACACCUGCAGCAAUGGAAGUUCCCAGGCUAGGGGUCGAAUCAGAGCUACAGCUGCCCGCCUACGCCAGAGCCACAGCAACGUGGGAUCCGAGCCGCAUCUGCAACCUACACUGCAGCUUGUGGCAAUGACGGAUCCUUAACUCCCUGAGCAAGGCCAGGGAUAGAACCCACAUCCUUACNGCAAUGCCGGAUCCUUAACCCCCUGAGCAAGGCCAGGAAUAGAACCCACAUCCUUAUGGAUGCUAGUCGGAUUCUUAACCUGCUGAGCCACACGGGGAACUCCCCACUUAUACUAAUAACUUAGUCAUUGCCGUUGUGAUACAAGGGAGACUCUAAAGGGGCCUGAAAGAGCAAAGCCAAGAAGACUGGCCUUUUGGGGGAAUUACCCCGGGGGAGGGACGAGGAGGGUCGCCUCAGCGAGGCCAGUUUUAAAACAG
rnacentral:lncRNA from 1 species